ensembl:processed_transcript 1700030C12Rik RIKEN cDNA 1700030C12 gene
GUUGUUCACGUUGGUCCCGUCCUCCCGCUCCUCCACGAUCCAGCGCGGGUCCCCCUGGCCCCACUUGGCCAUGGCGGCGCUGACGACGACGGCCCUGGUAGCGGGAGCGCGCGGGUUUCCGGCCAGAAGUGAUCCUCUAGAGACAAAAGAUCGUGCUUGCAAGUGCCCGGGAUUGUGGAUACAGUUACAAUAAGGGUUUAUUAAUUCUUUCCAUCGUUUUUCACCUUCUAGCAAAAACUGAAGCCACCAUCUGGAAAGUGUUUCUUAGGAGAUUAUUUUAACAAAUAAAAUAGGUAGUUCAAUGGGAGAUGGGGAAGGACCUGGCUGCUCUGUGCACUUGCCAUUCAGUGGUCUGCUUAUCAGCAAAACAAGCUGAAAGGGCUAUGGUGUUUAUUGGAGCUAUUGCAUUUCGAUGUGUUCUUCGAGAAGUUACAUCAUUCAAACUGCUGAAGCAAUGCUGUGACCCCCCCCCCAAAUCAAACGGCAUUGUUAGUUCAACUGAUCAUACCAAAGGCACAGCUGACAGAAGGCAAGACUCUAGCGAUGAUUGGCGUGUACUUUGUGUGCCUACUUUUCAUCCAGUUCUUCUGUUUGCUCCUGAUAAAACAUUUCAUGAUAAGAUUUAGAUAUGUUCAUUUGAACCUGACAGAAAAUAAGACUUCUGAGGGUAGAAGCUGCUACAAUCACUAAAAUGUAUAAAUACCAAAAUAUACAAGAACUACUCCCAGUAGAAAUAAAUUUACUGGAAUGUAACUCGAUUGUGAGUCUAGGAGACCAAUGGACCCUGAAGCACUCUUCAGAUCUGCGAUUUAAAAAUGACCUCCAAUAAGACAUUGCAAAAAUGGGAAAGAAACAAUGG